rnacentral:rRNA from 1 species
AUGGAGAGAACUCCCCGAGCAAUCCUCUUCCUCUUCCUCUUGCUCCUUGUCGAUCCCGGCGUAGCUCAGAACACCACCACCGGCAAAGCAGACGAGUUCCAUGUCGGAGUGAUCCUCAAUCUGGGCUCGCUGGUGGGAAAAGUAGCACGAACCAGCAUUUCACUGGCCGUCAAAGACUUCUACGCGGUCCACCAGAUUUACAGCACAAAGCUUGUCCUCCAUUUCAGGGAUUCCAUGGCCAGUGAUGUAAAGGCUGCAUCAGCAGCGAUUGAAUUACUGGAUAAUUACAAACUGCAAGCCAUCAUUGGUCCCCAGAAAUCAUCAGAAGCUGUAUUCAUCUCCAAGAUCGGAAAUAUAACCCAAGUCCCCACAGUAUCCUUCACAGCAACAAGCCCCUCUCUCACUUCAGAUACUAUGCCAUAUUUUGUGCGUGCAACAUUGAAUGACUCAGCUCAGGUGAAUAGCAUUGCCUCGCUUGUAAAAGCCUAUGGAUGGAGAGAAGUGGUGCUAGUAUAUGAAAACACUGACUAUGGUAGAGGCAUUCUACCAUACCUCAUUAGUGCACUUCAAGAGAGUGAUGUUCAUGUCCCGUAUCAGAGUGUUAUCCCCCCAUCAGCAACAAGUGAAAUCAUGAUGCAAGAACUCUAUAAGUUGAUGACAAUGCAAACAAGGGUGUUUAUUGUUCAUAUGUCAUCCACGAUGACUUACCUUCUUUUUACAAAGGCCAAAGAGGAAGGGAUGAUGGACAAAGGAUUUGCGUGGAUUACUACAAACGGAGUAGCAAACAUCAUCGACUCACUCAAUCCAAGUGUGACCGAGGUGAUGAAUGGUGUACUGGGAGUAAGGUACCAUGUCCCCAAAUCAAAAGAGCUUGAUAGUUUCUCCAUAAGGUGGAACAGAAUGUACCAACAGGAUAACCCAGAUGAAUCACCCUUCAAUAAGCUAAGCAUUGUUGGACUACGGGCCUAUGAUACGAUAUGGGCAUUAGCACAGGCAGCAGAAAAGGUUGGGAUAUCCAGUGCCCCAAAUAAGCAACCAUGGUCCAUUAAGAACUCCACAUGCUUGGAAUCCAUGGUUAUUUCCCCAAAUGGUCCAAAACUCUUAGCAGCAAUUGUACAAAAUAAGUUUAGAGGUAUAAGUGGCGACUUUGACCUUACAGACAAACAGCUUAAAGUUUCUGUGUUCCAAAUAAUAAAUGUGGUUGGGAGAGGUUGGAGAGAAAUCGGGUUUUGGAGUGUCAAAAGUGGACUGUCACGGCAGUUGAAUCAAAAUGGCUUAAAAACAACAGGAUCAGCCUCAAUGCUUGAUCUAAAUCCUGUAAUUUGGCCAGGAGAGUCAACUGAAAUACCGAGGGGCUGGGAAAUUCCUAUAAAUGGUAAGAAGCUUAGAGUCGGUGUGCACACGAGCAAUUGCCCAGAGUUUAUAAAGACAUUCAGAGAUCCUGUUACAAAUGUAACAAGUGCGAGUGGCCUUUCAGUUGACAUAUUUGAGGAGGCAAUAAAGAGGCUACCUUUUGCACUUACUUAUGAGUACCUGGCAUUUGACACAGCUGAUACAGCAACUACAGGAAGCUAUAACGAUUUUAUUUAUCAAGUUUAUCUUCAGAAAUACGACAUAGCGGUUGGAGAUAUUACUGUAAGGUACAAUAGAUCAUUGUAUGUCGACUUCACUGUACCGUACACAGAAUCUGGAGUAGGGAUGAUUGUUCCAGUCAAGGAAAACAUGAUCAAGAAUAUGUGGAUUUUCUUGAAACCAUUGAGCACUGGAAUGUGGUUUGGAAGCAUCAUAUUCUUUAUUUACACAGGAGUUGUUGCCUGGCUUCUGGAGUAUCUAAAUGGCAAUCAACAUGUACAUGGUCCCUUUUCACUCAAACAAGUGGGGAUUACAAUGUUCUUCUCCAUUUUUGAAGAGAAGGAGAAGCUGGAACGAUUUCUAUCCAGAAUUGUUCUACUUGUAUGGAUGUUUGUUUUUCUGGUACUUACAUCAAGUUAUACAGCAAGCUUUGCAUCAAUGCUGACUGUACAGCAGCUUUCACCGACAGUGACUGAUGUUCAUGAACUCCAGAGGAAAGGAGAAUAUGUAGGGUUCCACCGUGGUUCCUAUAUAGAGGGUCUACUGGUGGAUAUUGGUUUUGAAAAAUCAAAGAUGAGGCCCUACGAAACACAGGAAGAUUUCGCUGCUGCUCUUUCUAAAGGAAGCAAAGAUGGUGGCAUUGCUGCGCUUGUACAUGAAAUCCCCUACAUCAAACUGUUUCUUGCAAAGUACAGCAAAGGUUACACAAUGGUGGGACCUAUCUACAAGAGUGCAGGUUUUGCAUUUGCGCUUCCCAAGCAAUCACCACUAAGAGCUGAAAUGUCAAGGGCAAUACUCAACAUAACAGGAGAAGAUAGUAUCAAUGAAAUUGAAAAGAAAUGGAUAUAUCAAAACAGCCAUCAACAAGAGGAUAAAAUUGAUGGUUCAGGCGCAAUCACUUUUGAAAGUUUUGGGGGGUUAUUCCUCCUAACUGGGAUUGUGACAACCUGUUCUCUUGCUAUAGCCAUGCUGAUGAACCUCUACAAAAAAUAUCAACAAAAUGCAUGGAGCAAAGAAGACGAUCAAAAUGAAUGUGUACACGGGCAACAAGGAGAAAAUGGAGAUUCACAGGAAGAACAAGGAGAUCAAAACAGCAAUGAACACGGAAACUGCAGUGAUAUAGAGAAGCAGACAACAUUGACUGUGCAACUCAGUUCGAACACAGAGUGA